CACCGGUUCUCGUCUGAUCACGAAAGUUAAGCAUCAUCGGGCGCGGUCAGUACUUGGGAGGGUGACCACCUGGGAACACCACGUGCCGUU
rnacentral:rRNA from 1 species